rnacentral:lncRNA from 1 species
AAUUCGUAGAAAAUUAUCACCCAUUACUUCUAGUGUUGUUCCUUGCUGUUUAAGUGUUUUUAAGCUGUUUUGGAGUGUUUCAGUAUGUUUUGACAUUAAAAAUCCAAAAUUUCAUAAAAAUUUGAAAAAUUGUUUUGAAAAACCCAAAAAGAGUUGUUUUUGUGUGCUUAUUUGUGUCUUAGGGUACCUUCCAACACAAUGAUGAGGAUUUGGUUUUUUUAAUUACAUGACUGUUAAAGAGAAUUAUAAACAUGGAUGAAAGUUUGAUUUGCUCUUUGGUUUUAUGCUUGGUUGUGGUUAUAACUUAUGAAUUCACAUGCAAUCAUAAAGAAAAAAAAAUUAGUUUUUGUAACAUGCUUGAAGGAAGGAACUCAAACAAAUGCUACAACCUUGUGAGACUUGAGCCUAAACAUUAUUUGGAGAGUUGAUAAUCUGUGCAUUAUUGUUUUCUACAGUCGUUGCAUGAUCUCAUUUUUCUUUGCUUGGUUACUACUUAGAAGGCGUUUCAUCAUUUAGUUCCAAAUGCU